CAGUAGCCGCGGUAAUACGUAGGUCCCGAGCGUUGUCCGGAUUUAUUGGGCGUAAAGCGAGCGCAGGCGGUUAGAUAAGUCUGAAGUUAAAGGCUGUGGCUUAACCAUAGUACGCUUUGGAAACUGUUUAACUUGAGUGCAAGAGGGGAGAGUGGAAUUCCAUGUGUAGCGGUGAAAUGCGUAGAUAUAUGGAGGAACACCGGUGGCGAAAGCGGCUCUCUGGCUUGUAACUGACGCUGAGGCUCGAAAGCGUGGGGCGCAAACAGGAUUAGAUACCCGGGUAGUCCCUGUCUCUUAUACA
rnacentral:rRNA from 1 species